GUGAGGCUUUGGGUCGCUUCUUGGCUGGGCCCUGAGUGGCCCAUGGAGGAGCCCUGCUCCCCCCGCCCCCCGGCUGCGUCCUGCCGUGGCCUCAGUGCCUCAGCAGAAUCACCAGAGAUGGGCAUGGAGGCAGAGCCUGAAGGCUGGCGUGCGAGCAUUACUGUUGGGGGUGACCUUCUUUGUGGGACAGUUACAGGAGAGUGCAGGGGUGGGGAGGGGAGAAGGCAUUUUCAUUUUUCAACAGAUGAGCCACAUUUUGGUAUCUCAUGUGCCCACUCCUGUCCCUCCACCGAGGUCCAGAUCAACCAGUUGCUUUCUUAGGAAACCACCACAGGCUGGGCACUGGCUGGUUUAUCCCUAGCCCAGAGGGGCAGGUCAUCACCCC
rnacentral:lncRNA from 1 species